GGUAUGUGGAUCUCAAUCAGAUAGGCAGUGCAGGUGGAUCCUCUCCUGCCAAAUAAAUCCAUUGCAUUUCCAAGCCAUGGCUCGCUUUCAGGAAGUCACCAAUAGAUAUUGCCAAGAAAAGAAAUUUACAUUGUGCCGAAUGUUUAUCAUCAAUGCUGGCCUUAGUUUUAGGCUGCUGUCGAGCACAGUGAAGUCUUUUAUCGAUCCAAAAACCACUUCAAAGAUUCAUGUACUCUCAAUGAGGCUUUUCUUUUAUUUGUAUUUAAUUAAUUAAUGUUCCAUCUUCUAGAAAUACUGUGACAAUGUGUCUAGCAGUAGUUUUUAACAUGCUUCUCUAAUUUGGAAGGGCAGGGUUCUUCGAGUUUGAUGAACAUGUUCCCAUGGUAGACAAAGCUGUGGAUUCAA